rnacentral:rRNA from 1 species
UCCUACGGGAGGCAGCAGUGGGGAAUUUUGGACAAUGGGCGCAAGCCUGAUCCAGCAAUGCCGCGUGUGUGAAGAAGGCCUUCGGGUUGUAAAGCACUUUUGUCCGGAAAGAAAACUUCGUCCCUAAUAUGGAUGGAGGAUGACGGUACCGGAAGAAUAAGCACCGGCUAACUACGUGCCAGCAGCCGCGGUAAUACGUAGGGUGCGAGCGUUAAUCGGAAUUACUGGGCGUAAAGCGUGCGCAGGCGGUUCGCUAAGACCGAUGUGAAAUCCCCGGGCUUAACCUGGGAACUGCAUUGGUGACUGGCGGGCUAGAGUAUGGCAGAGGGGGGUAGAAUUCCACGUGUAGCAGUGAAAUGCGUAGAGAUGUGGAGGAAUACCGAUGGCGAAGGCAGCCCCCUGGGCCAAUACUGACGCUCAUGCACGAAAGCGUGGGGAGCAAACAGGAUUAGAUACCCUGGUAGUCCACGCCCUAAACGAUGUCAACUAGUUGUCGGGUCUUCAUUGACUUGGUAACGUAGCUAACGCGUGAAGUUGACCGCCUGGGGAGUACGGUCGCAAGAUUAAAACUCAAAGGAAUUGACGGGGACGCGCACAAGCGGUGGAUGAUGUGGACUAAUUCGAUGCAACGUGCAAACCUUACA